CGCUCCCGGCCCCCCGUCACGUUCACGGGGACGAGAGGGGUCGUCCCGCCGGGCGGGCCGGCCGCCGGGCGUUAGCGGGCAGUGCGAAGUCGGGGCCGCGGGCCUGGAGAGCCGCUUGACCAAGUUCUCGUCUGUGCCCUCCGAGGGUUCGGAGCCUCCAGCCGGGGUGAGUCGUGAGGAUACGGGCGGAUGUGCCCCAGGACGGAUGGUUGUGCCCCAAGACGGGCGGAUGUGCCCCAAGACUUGGGCGGAGGUACCCAAAGACCUAGUCGGAUGUGCCCCCAGACCUGGUCAGAUGCGCCCCAGGACGGGCGAUGUGGCCCCAGGACCAGGUCGAAUGUGCCCCCAGGACCUGGUUGGAUGUGCCCCCAAGACAGUCGGAUGUGCCCCCAAAUCUGGUCAGAUGUGCCCCAAGAGGGGCGGAUGUGCCCCAAGACCUGGUCAGAUGUGCCCCCAAGACGGGCGGAUGUGGCCCCAAGACCAAGUCGGAUGUGCCCCGGGACGGACGUGCUGCCGGUUUCGCCAGGGAAGACCUCGCGAGGCCCCUCAGUUUCCGGCAGCAGAAGCGUGGUUAGCCUUGUGUUCUGAACGCACGGAAUAAGACAGGUGUUCGAGACAUGGUUCCAGUAAGAUACUCGCUCUGGCUUCCUGCCGCCCGUGAGUCUUUGCCCUUUGGGGGGACGGUCCCCCAAGAUGUGUCUGCCCGCUUUUCUUCCAGUCGGCUGAAUGCUGCAUUCUCCACAGUGUUGCCUCAGGCAGCUCCACGGAGAUGGCCCUGAGCUGGGCUGCCGGGCUGUGGGUUCAGGGCCCGUAUCCCACCCGACGCCGGGCCGGCCAGCCCAGGCUGCGGCUCUCGGGUAUUUGCCAGGGUCUCCACCUCGCGCCCCUCGGCCCGACGCCAUCUCCUGCGUCCAGCUGCUCUCGCGGCCGGUUAACGGCUACGGCGUCUGCAGACGCUUGCCAUCGAGGGAGACCCGGUGACCCCAAGGGGAAAUAGACACUGGUCACGGUUCAGGAUUCUGCUGGGCGGGACAGCCAGUCCCCGCAGGGCCCGCAGGGGGAAGGAGCGGGUGCAAGGCCGGGAGCUGGCCCCCCCUCUCCCUAGAGAGCCCUCAAGUACCCAGACGCAAGAGGGUGCGACCGUGACCGCCGUCGGCAGAGAGCUGUUACCAGGCCUUGUCCAGAGGGUGGAAAGGAAAGUGUCCCCUAUUGUCUCCCCAGAAUGACACACAAAACAGGGACAAAGAGAGCCUGCCUGGCUGGAAGGGCUCUCGGCCCCCGAUUUCCGCAGUGGCCCUGGGGACAGCAGACAACAGGCAGGGACAGCAGAAAACGUGGGACGACAGCCCGCUUUGUGCACCACCGGCUGGCCGCGAGAGAGGCUGAGGCUUUCUGCAGCCGUGUCCAUCCAAUUUCAGGAGAACCGGAACCGUGGGAGGGUUCAGCGGGCCCAUUGUGCCCCUGCCCUGCCCCCCCCCACAACCCCCCCGGACUCCUGGGGCCCAGCCUCCCCGCGGGCAGUUAGCACAGCUUUUUGGGAGAAGGUCCUGCUGAGCACUGGGCCCUGGAACUGGGACGGGUCAGAGCUGGGGCCUAAGGCAGCUCGGAGAGGGUGGCCCCACAGCGAGUGCCCCGGGGCUGGAUGUGGGGCCCUCGGCUUGCCCCUUGUCACUCGUUCCAUCCCGCCCUCGUGACUUCCACCCCCUGACCCCACCGCGGCCUCCCUCCCCAACAGGGACACCCGUCUGCCGUCCUGUCAGCACCAGGACGGAGAAGGUUCUCCCUGCUUCCCGUGGGUUACCGAGCGGAGGGUUUGUUGGGGUUUUCUGGGUUUUGGUCUCAAGACUUUACUAUAGUUUGCAGGGGGAAAUUUCCAGAAGGGCAAGGAAGGCAGCACUCUGCUUGGAGCCAAAGAAAACACUCAGAACAAGACACGGCGUUUCUUGCCCGUAGGAGGAGUGGGCAGGCGGCCCUCCGGCCUGGGGGGCUGCCUGGGCAAGGGACAGGUUGGACAGCCGCCUGGCACCUACCCCCCGCCACCCGUCCCUCUGCUUCCGAGCGCUCGGCACGUGGGGCGGUCCCGGGGCCCUCGAGAAAGCAGGGUCCCGAGAGACGGCGGCGGCACCACGUGAGCCCCACGCCUCCCACACCCCCAGAGAAGCGCACGCAGGGCGGCCGGCCUGGCUGGAGCCGGACGAGAGCCCGGGCCCGGGGAGAGGAGCCCCGGGCAGCUAACGCUGACCACUGACCUGCGGAGGAGAAGGACGCCAGCCCGACGGCAGUCACGGGAGCUUGGGGUAGCAGCCUGCCUUCGGGGACUUUUAAGUCAGCCACCGCGGACAGAUCACCUCCGGCCUGGCCAAGCGCGGGGCUCCGUUUCUCCAGGAGGUGACGUCUGUCCAGAGCCGGGCACCGGGGGCAGGCGGGCAGGGCUGCGAAGGCAGACCGCGGCCCAGCGGGGAGGACAGGACAGGUAAUUUCCAUGCCCAACGUGGGGCUCAAACUCACAACCCCAAG